rnacentral:rRNA from 1 species
GAUGAACGCUGGCGGCGUGCCUAAUACAUGCAAGUCGAGCGAACAGACGAGGAGCUUGCUCCUCUGACGUUAGCGGCGGACGGGUGAGUAACACGUGGAUAACCUACCUAUAAGACUGGGAUAACUUCGGGAAACCGGAUCUAAUACCGGAUAAUAUAUUGAACCGCAUGGUUCAAUAGUUAAAGACGGUUUUGCUGUCACUUAUAGAUGGAUCCGCGCCGCAUUAGCUAGUUGGUAAGGUAACGGCUUACCAAGGCGACGAUGCGUAGCCGACCUGAGAGGGUGAUCGGCCACACUGGAACUGAGACACGGUCCAGACUCCUACGGGAGGCAGCAGUAGGGAAUCUUCCGCAAUGGGCGAAAGCCUGACGGAGCAACGCCGCGUGAGUGAUGAAGGUCUUCGGAUCGUAAAACUCUGUUAUUAGGGAAGAACAAAUGUGUAAGUAACUAUGCACGUCUUGACGGUACCUAAUCAGAAAGCCACGGCUAACUACGUG